GAGUUUGAUCAUGGCUCAGGAUGAACGCUAGCGGCAGGCUUAAUACAUGCAAGUCGAGGGGCAGCAGCUUUAUAGCAAUAUAGAGGCUGGCGACCGGCAAACGGGUGCGGAACACGUACACAACCUUCCUUGAAUAGGGGGAUAGCCCAUAGAAAUGUGGAUUAAUACCCCGUAAUAUAGCGGUGUGGCAUCMCACUGUUAUUAUAGUUUCGGCGAUUCGAGAUGGGUGUGCGGCUGAUUAGGUAGUUGGCGGGGUAAAGGCCCACCAAGCCUUCGAUCAGUAGCUGAUGUGAGAGCAUGAUCAGCCACACGGGCACUGAGACACGGGCCCGACUCCUACGGGAGGCAGCAGUAAGGAAUAUUGGUCAAUGGACGCAAGUCUGAACCAGCCAUGCCGCGUGAAGGAUGAAGGUCCUCUGGAUUGUAAACUUCUUUUAUAGGGGGCGAAAAAAGGUCUUUCUAGAUCACUUGACAGUACCCUAUGAAUAAGCACCGGCUAACUCCGUGCCAGCAGCCGCGGUAAUACGGAGGGUGCAAGCGUUAUCCGGAUUCACUGGGUUUAAAGGGUGCGUAGGCGGGUAGGUAAGUCAGAGGUGAAAUCCUGGAGCUUAACUCCAGAACUGCCUUUGAUACUAUCUAUCUUGAAUAUGGUGGAGGUAAGCGGAAUAUGUCAUGUAGCGGUGAAAAUGCAUAGAUAUGACAUAGAACACCUAUUGCGAARGCAGCUUACUACGCCUAUAUUGACGCUGAGGCACGAAAGCGUGGGGAUCAAAMAGGAUUAGAUACCCUGGUAGUCCACGCCCUAACGAUGAUUAMCUCGACGUAUGCGAUACACAGUAKGCGUCUGAGCGAAAGCAUAAGUAAUCCMCCUGGGARUACGACCGCAAGGUUGAAAACUCAAAGGAAUUKGCUGGGKGUCCGCAYARCGGGGGASCUGKGUGUUUAAUUUCAYRKAUACKSA
rnacentral:rRNA from 1 species